UGUGGUAGCAGCUGCAGUUGUGGUGGCAGGGGCUGACGUAAUGUAAAAAUGCAGUUGUGAUGGAAGUUGGUGUUGCCAUUGUGGCAGAUGCAGUUGUGGUGGAGGCAGAUGCUGUUGAUGCAGCAGUGGUGGCAGCAGCUGUCUUAGUGGUGGCUGCAGUUGUGGUUGCAGGGUCUGUUUUAGCAGAGGCUGUAGUGGCUGCAGUUGUGCUGGUAGCUGCAGUUGUUGUUUGCAGCAGCUGCUUUUGUGGUAGAAGCUGCAGUUGUGGUGGCAGCGGCUGCUGUUGUAGUGGCAGCUACAGUUGUGGUGGUAGGGGCUGUUGUAGUGGCAGCUGCAGUUGUGGUGGCAGCGGCUGUCGCAAUGGCAAAUGCAGUUCUGGUGGCAGGGGCUGUUGUAAUGGUGGCUAAAGUUGUGGUGCCAAAGACUGAAGCUGUGGUAGCAGAUGCUGUUGUUGUCUGUCAUAGUGGCGGCUACCGAUGUGAUAGCUGGUGCAGUUGUGGUGGCAGCUGCAGUUGUGGUGGCGGCUCCAUUUGUGGUGGCGGCUGCAGUUGUGGUGGCGGCUGCAGUUGUGGUGGCGGCUACAGUUGUGGUGGCGGCUACAGUUGUGGUGGCGGCUACAGUUGUGGUGGCGGCUACAGUUGUGGUGGCGGCUACGGCUGCGGCUGCAGUUGUGGUGGCGGCUACAGUUGUGGUGGCGGCUACAGUUGUGGUGGCGGCUACAGUUGUGGUGGCGGCUACAGUUGUGGUGGCGGCUACAGUUGUGGUGGAGGCUGCAGUUUUGUUGUGGGGGGCUAUCAUAGUGGCAGCUACAAUUAUGGUUGCGGCUGCAGUUGUGGUGGCGGCUACAGUUGUGGUAGCUGAUGCAGUUGUGGUGGAGGCAGCAGUUGUGGUGGCAGGGACUUUUGUAGUUGUGGCUGCAGUUCUGAUGGCAGCAGUUGUGGUGGCGGCUGCAGUUGUGGUGGCGGGGGCUGUAGGAGUAGCGGCUACAGUUGUGGUGGCGGCUAUAGUUGUGGUGGCGGCUGCAGUUGUUUUGGCGGGGGCUGUCAUAGUGGCGGCUACAGUUGGGGUUGCGGCUAUAGUUGUGGCUGCUGCAGUUGUGGUGGCUGCUGCAGUUGUGGUGGCAGAUGCAAUUGUGGUGGUGGGGACUGUCAUAGUUGCGGCUGCAGUUCUGGUGGCAGCAGUUGUGGUAGCGGCUGCAAUUGUGGUGGCGGGGACUGUAGGAGUAGCGGCCACAGUUGUGGUUGCGGUCUGAGUUGUGGUGGCAGAUGGAGAUGUGGUGGCGGCUGCAGUUGUGGUGGCUGGAGCUGUAGGAGUUGUGGCUGCAGUUGUGGUGGCAGGGGCUGUAGGAGUAGCAGCUGCAGUUUUGGUGGCAGGGGCUGUCGUACUUGCGGCUGCAGUUUUGGUGGCAGCAGUUGUGGUAGCGGGGGCUGUCGUAGUUGCAGUUACAGUAGUAGUUGCAGAAGUAGUGGCAUCUGCAG
ensembl:lncRNA